UACGAAGGGGGCUAGCGUUGUUCGGAAUCACUGGGCGUAAAGCGCACGCAGGCGGAUCGAUAAGUCGGGGGUGAAAGCCCGGGGCUCAACCUCGGAACUGCCUUCGUUACUGUCGGUCUCGAGUCCGGGAGAGGUGAGUGGAAUUCCUAGUGUAGAGGUGAAAUUCGUAGAUAUUAGGAAGAACACCAGUGGCGAAGGCGGCUCACUGGCCCGGUACUGACGCUCAGGUGCGAAAGCGUGGGGAGCAAACAGG
rnacentral:rRNA from 1 species